rnacentral:rRNA from 1 species
GAUGAACGCUAGCGGCAGGCUUAAUACAUGCAAGUCGUGGGGCAGCAGGUUUGUAGCAAUACAGAUGCUGGCGACCGGCAAACGGGUGCGGAACACGUACAGAACCUUCCUUUGAGCGGGGAAUAGCCCAGAGAAAUUUGGAUUAAUACCCCAUAGUAUAAUGAAGUGGCAUCACUUUAUUAUUAAGAUUUAUCACUCGAAGAUGGCUGUGCGGCUGAUUAGGUAGUUGGCGGGUAAAGGCCCACCAAGCCUGCGAUCAGUAACUGGUGUGAGAGCACGACCAGUCACACGGGCACUGAGACACGGGCCCGACUCCUACGGGAGGCAGCAGUAAGGAAUAUUGGUCAAUGGAGGCAACUCUGAACCAGCCAUGCCGCGUGGAGGAUGAAGGUCCUCUGGAUUGUAAACUUCUUUUAAUAUUGGGACGAAAAAAAGGCUUUUCUAAGUCGUCUGACGGUACCAUAUGAAUAAGCACCGGCUAACUCCGUGCCAGCAGCCG